rnacentral:rRNA from 1 species
CCUACGGGUGGCUGCAGUGGGGAAUAUUGGACAAUGGGGGGAACCCUGAUCCAGCCAUGCCGCGUGUGUGAAGAAGGCCCUCGGGUUGUAAAGCACUUUCAGUGAGGAAGAACGCCUGGUGGUUAAUACCCAUCAGGAAAGACAUCACUCACAGAAGAAGCACCGGCUAACUCCGUGCCAGCAGCCGCGGUAAUACGGAGGGUGCGAGCGUUAAUCGGAAUUACUGGGUGUAAAGCGCGCGUAGGUGGCUUGAUAAGCCGGUUGUGAAAGCCCCGGGCUCAACCUGGGAACGGCAUCCGGAACUGUCAAGCUAGAGUGCAGGAGAGGAAGGUAGAAUUCCCGGUGUAGCGGUGAAAUGCGUAGAGAUCGGGAGGAAUACCAGUGGCGAAGGCGGCCUUCUGGACUGACACUGACACUGAGGUGCGAAAGCGUGGGUAGCAAACAGGAUUAGAUACCCCUGUAGUC